UCAAUUAAGAACAAUUGCUUUUAUUAAAACUUAAAAACAAAAUUAAAUUCAAUUAAAAACAACUACCAAAAAAACGCUUUUUUAACAUUUAACAAUAAAUCUUUUAAUAAUUUUCCCCUUUUCACUACUUACUUACACACCUAAACAACACUUUACAUUUAAAACAAUCAUAUCUUAAACACACACACACACACACACAUAAACAUUAUUUAAAAUUUUUUUCCAACAAACAACCAAAAGUAAACGUCAGUCAUUAUGAAAAAGAGUAAUACCGCCAAUACAAUAUUGUCUUCAUUGCCCACAAGUCCGACCAUGUCGGCCCAAAGUUAUGCUGGCAGUAAAUCUAGUCUAAAUAGCAGUCGCUCCAGUCGUUCUUCUAACAAUAUGCAAACGACCAAUUCGAAAAGCAAUAAGGUGGAUCAUGAAAUCGAAACUAUUUUAGAGAAAGCAAAAUUUUAUACUUCAGUAUGUUUGGGUACCACGGCUAUUUUAUCGGUUUUUACAUUUCUAUUUUUAAUACCCUUUGUUGUUGAUCCUGCUAUAUCGACUAUAAUUGCCGAUUAUGAUCCAGUACCGGUUACCUGUAUUGUUAUCGAUCAUGUCUAUGCGGAGGGUAUUAGAAAUUGUACAUGGAGCUCAUGUAGGGAAGGCUGUACAUCAUCGCCGAAUAAAUGUCAUCAAUUAUACGUAAAUUAUACCCGUAUACCAUUCGCAGAAUGGCAAAAAAAUCCACGUGAUUUAGAGACCGUAGUAUGGGAUGUAAGCUAUACGAAAUUUUUAAUAAAUUCCGAAGGAUGUGGUUAUCCACCAACUACCAAUUGUAGUGUAUUUGCCAGACAAUAUGGAUAUAAUCACAUUAAUGAACCAUUCGCUUGCUACUAUAGUCGUGCCUAUCCUGAAGUGGUUAUUGGUCGUUAUUCUUGGGAGAAUAAUCUUUAUCAUCUAAUACUAUCACUAAUAAUACCCACAGUAUUAUUUGCCAUAUCGAUUGGGGUCUUAAGCUAUUGGUAUUGUCCGUGUUGUGAUAAUGCCUGUAAUAAAUCAUCAAGGGUUUAUGCUGAAAAAUUCCCCACUAAGGAAGAGAUUGCAAACUGCAUGAAAUGUAAUCCGGAAAAAUCUAUUUCCCUGAAUAGUUAUUAAACUUUUUAAGAAAAAACUGAAAUUACAAUUAAAAAUCUACACACACGAUAAAAACUAGAGAAAACUUUAAAUGCCUGAAAAGUGCCUGAAAACCGUUUGAAUUUAAAAGAAAAACAAAACCAAGAAAAACAAAACUGAAAAUACUAAAACAUGUUAACAAAAAACUACUGUGUCACAGUGAUGAUGAGGAUGAAAUGGAAUACUAGAAUUAAAAAAAAUAAAUAUAUUUUUGUAAAGCAAAACAUUAUAUUUUGAAAAAACAAAGCACUUUACAGAAAAAGAAACA